rnacentral:rRNA from 1 species
GAUGAACGCUGGCGGCGUGCCUAAUACAUGCAAGUCGAACGCUGGAAAUCUAGCUUGCUAGCUUGAAGGAGUGGCGAACGGGUGAGUAAUACAUAAGCAACCUACCCACGAAGACUGGGAUAAUCUCUGGAAACGGGGACUAGUACCGGAUAGGUAAUCGGAAGGCAUCUUCUGAUUAUUAAAGGUUAAAAACACUGGUGGAUGGGCUUAUGGCGCAUUAGUUAGUUGGUGAGGUAACGGCCCACCAAGACGAUGAUGCGUAGCCGGCCUGAGAGGGUGAACGGCCACAUUGGGACUGAGACACGGCCCAGACUCCUACGGGAGGCAGCAGUAGGGAAUUUUCGGCAAUGGGGGAAACCCUGACCGAGCAACGCCGCGUGAGUGAUGACGGCCUUCGGGUUGUAAAGCUCUGUUGUAAGGGAAGAACGGUAGAUAGAGAAUAUCUAAAUGACGGUACCUUACCAGAAAGCCACGGCUAACUACGUG